AUGAACGCUGGCGGCGUGCCUAAUACAUGCAAGUCGCGCGAACAGACGAGGAGCUUGCUCCUCUGACGUUAGCGGCGGACGGGUGAGUAACACGUGGAUAACCUACCUAUAAGACUGGGAUAAUUUCGGGAAACCGGAGCUAAUACCGGAUAAUAUAUUGAACCGCAUGGUUCAAUAGUGAAAGACGGUUUUGCUGUCACUUAUAGAUGGAUCCGCGCCGCAUUAGCUAGUUGGUAAGGUAACGGCUUACCAAGGCAACGAUGCGUAGCCGACCUGAGAGGGUGAUCGGCCACACUGGAACUGAGACACGGUCCAGACUCCUACGGGAGGCAGCAGUAGGGAAUCUUCCGCAAUGGGCGAAAGCCUGACGGAGCAACGCCGCGUGAGUGAUGAAGGUCUUCGGAUCGUAAAACUCUGUUAUUAGGGAAGAACAAAUGUGUAAGUAACUAUGCACGUCUUGACGGUACCUAAUCAGAAAGCCACGGCUAACUACGUG
rnacentral:rRNA from 1 species